rnacentral:rRNA from 1 species
AGAGUUUGAUCCUGGCUCAGGACGAACGCUGGCGGCGUGCCUAACACAUGCAAGUCGAACGGAACUGUUUUGAAAGAUUUCUUCGGAAUGAAUUUGAUUUAGUUUAGUGGCGGACGGGUGAGUAACGCGUGAGUAACCUGCCUUCAAGAGGGGGAUAACAUUCUGAAAAGAAUGCUAAUACCGCAUGACAUAUCGGAAUCACAUGAUUUUGAUAUCAAAGAUUUUAUCGCUUGAAGAUGGACUCGCGUCCGAUUAGUUAGUUGGUGAGGUAACGGCUCACCAAGACCGCGAUCGGUAGCCGGACUGAGAGGUUGAACGGCCACAUUGGGACUGAGACACGGCCCAGACUCCUACGGGAGGCAGCAGUGGGGGAUAUUGCGCAAUGGGGGCAACCCUGACGCAGCAACGCCGCGUGAAGGAUGGAGGUUUUCGGAUUGUAAACUUCUUUUAUUAAGGACGAAAAAUGACGGUACUUAAUGAAUAAGCUCCGGCUAACUACGUGCCAGCAGCCGCGGUAAUACGUAGGGAGCAAGCGUUGUCCGAAUUUACUGGGUGUAAAGGGUGCGUAGGCGGCUUUGCAAGUCAGAUGUGAAAUCUAUGGGCUCAACCCAUAAACUGCAUUUGAAACUGUAGAGCUUGAGUGAAGUAGAGGCAGGCGGAAUUCCCCGUGUAGCGGUGAAAUGCGUAGAGAUGGGGAGGAACACCAGUGGCGAAGGCGGCCUGCUGGGCUUUAACUGACGCUGAGGCACGAAAGCGUGGGUAGCAAACAGGAUUAGAUACCCUGGUAGUCCACGCUGUAAACGAUGAUUACUAGGUGUGGGGGGUCUGACCCCUUCCGUGCCGGAGUUAACACAAUAAGUAAUCCACCUGGGGAGUACGGCCGCAAGGUUG